rnacentral:rRNA from 1 species
GAUGAACGCUAGCGGGAGGCCUAACACAUGCAAGCCGAGCGGUAUUUGUUCUUCGGAACAGAGAGAGCGGCGCACGGGUGCGGAACACGUGUGCAACCUGCCUUUAUCUGGGGGAUAGCCUUUCGAAAGGAAGAUUAAUACCCCAUAAUAUAUUGAGUGGCAUCAUUUGAUAUUGAAAACUCCGGUGGAUAGAGAUGGGCACGCGCAAGAUUAGAUAGUUGGUGAGGUAACGGCUCACCAAGUCAAUGAUCUUUAGGGGGCCUGAGAGGGUGAUCCCCCACACUGGUACUGAGACACGGACCAGACUCCUACGGGAGGCAGCAGUGAGGAAUAUUGGACAAUGGGUUAGCGCCUGAUCCAGCCAUCCCGCGUGAAGGACGACGGCCCUAUGGGUUGUAAACUUCUUUUGUAUAGGGAUAAACCUACUCUCGUGAGAGUAGCUGAAGGUACUAUACGAAUAAGCACCGGCUAACUCCGCG